UGACUACCAAUUGGCAACAAUACACGUAUUCAAAAUGAGGGCGUUGACAUGAGCCGGAGCAGGCCCCUUGCACUCCGGUGCUGUAAGGGUUCAGGAAUGCUCUUUUGAGUAAUUCCACAGUAGAAUUUUUGUCAGCGGGGGUGAGCGCGUGCGCCGCCCCCAC
rnacentral:snRNA from 1 species